AACGAACGCUGGCGGCAUGCCUAACACAUGCAAGUCGAACGAUGGUCUUCGGAUCAUAGUGGCGCACGGGUGCGUAACGCGUGGGAAUCUGCCCUUGGGUUCGGAAUAACAGUUGGAAACGACUGCUAAUACCGGAUGAUGUUGAUAAGACCAAAGAUUUAUCGCCCGAGGAUGAGCCCGCGUCGGAUUAGCUAGUUGGUGGGGUAAAGGCCUACCAAGGCGACGAUCCGUAGCUGGUCUGAGAGGAUGAUCAGCCACACUGGGACUGAGACACGGCCCAGACUCCUACGGGAGGCAGCAGUGGGGAAUAUUGGACAAUGGGCGCAAGCCUGAUCCAGCAAUGCCGCGUGAGUGAUGAAGGCCUUAGGGUUGUAAAGCUCUUUUACCCGGGAAGAUAAUGACUGUACCGGGAGAAUAAGCCCCGGCUAACUCCGUG
rnacentral:rRNA from 1 species